UUUUAUUCUGCUGAGAAAGUUGAAGAUCACGUGACAUACACGCCAGAAAAAACGUCAUUUCUGGGUAUUUGUCCACUGGUUUGCCUGUUAACCGUAGGUGUCACGUUUGAAGGGACGAAACGGAACGUCAUCGCUCGAACGGCCAAUCAUAUCGCGCAUUGAGGAACCCAAAGCCUCCUAACAGAGAUGCCUCGAUCCUUUCGAAAAUUCGCACGGAGGCAACAGUCAAGGUGAACAUCUGUGAGUUUCUCCAAAGCGGUUACCAUCGGUAAACAGCAAGCCUACUGAUUGCCUGCCUGGUGUUGACCGACGCGACGAGGUGUAUUGCCUAAAUCCAAUCCACGGAUUGCUUCCUAGUUGGAGAUUUGACAUCCUCGUGAUCCUGGUGUGCGUGCGCCAUCCUCGAGGAAAUUGCUAGUGACUGUUCGAGUGUUGUUGCAGCUAAGGUCAUCAGAGAGGACAGACCAUCCUGCAUUUCUGUCAGAAACUGGACAACCCGAAGAUCAGGGAAUUUCUGGCCAGCUAUGAUCCAGAGGGUUCGGAGAAGGCUGCCUGCAUCCUCCAGCUCCUUAUGGUCUACUUUAAGGAGCCUACGGAGAAACUGAUGCUCGAAGUUGAUACCUGUGCCACUGCUGCUGAUGUAGUGAAUACUGCAGCACUCCCAAGCACCCCCUGCUUGAUCAUUCAAGGUGACACAAUGAAGCCUUCUGGGUGGAUGCUAUCGAGGGACAAGUGGUAAUGGGCCCACACCCAUUUUUUUUGCAUGGGCUAGCUGCUUUAUUCAGCAGCUACUAUGUCUUCAACCUCAAAUAUCCCGUUGGAUCAUGCACACUGGAGUUCAUCCAAAGAUGCUUCUUGGGCAUCAACCCGGAGAAAGGCUCCAAGGCAAAGAAGCGAAGCUCCAUUAACCCUCACGUGAGCACCCUUCACCGGAAGCUGAUAGACUUGGAAUGGUCUGCAUAGACUGCAUGGUGUGCGGGGACAAGUUUAGUGGGAAGCAUUACGGUCAGUUCACCUGCGAGGGAUUAUUUGUUUAAAGGAUCCGUUAAGGGUUCAUCUGUUUUUUAUGGAUAGUUGAGGUGAACUAGUUCAUGUUCCUGUUUGUUUACUCUGUUGUUUAUUUUGUCAAUAAAUAUGCCAGUGGGCUUCCAUUGAUUUUACCUCA